GACGAACGCUGGCGGCGUGCUUAACACAUGCAAGUCGAACGGAAAGGCCCUGCUUUUGUGGGGUGCUCGAGUGGCGAACGGGUGAGUAACACGUGAGUAACCUGCCCUUGACUUUGGGAUAACUUCAGGAAACUGGGGCUAAUACCGGAUAGGAGCUCCUGCUGCAUGGUGGGGGUUGGAAAGUUUCGGCGGUUGGGGAUGGACUCGCGGCUUAUCAGCUUGUUGGUGGGGUAGUGGCUUACCAGGGCUUUGACGGGUAGCCGGCCUGUGAGGGUGACCGGCCACAUUGGGACUGGGGUACGGCCCAGACUCGUACGGGAGGCAGCAGGGGGGAAUAUUGCACAGUGGGCGGAAGCCUGAUGCAGCAACGCCGCGUGCGGGAUGACGGCCUUCGGGUUGUAAACCGCUUUCGCCUGUGACGAAGCGUGAGUGACGGUAAUGGGUAAAGAAGCACCGGCUAACUACGUG
rnacentral:rRNA from 1 species